rnacentral:rRNA from 1 species
GAUGAACGCUAGCUACAGGCUUAACACAUGCAAGUCGAGGGGAAACGACAUCGAAAGCUUGCUUUUGAUGGGCGUCGACCGGCGCACGGGUGAGUAACGCGUAUCCAACCUGCCCACCACUUGGGGAUAACCUUGCGAAAGUAAGACUAAUACCCAAUGAUAUCCCACGAAGGCAUCCGAAUGGGAUUAAAGAUUUAUCGGUGAUGGAUGGGGAUGCGUCUGAUUAGCUUGUUGGCGGGGUAACGGCCCACCAAGGCGACGAUCAGUAGGGGUUCUGAGAGGAAGGUCCCCCCACAUUGGAACUGAGACACGGUCCAAACUCCUACGGGAGGCAGCAGUGAGGAAUAUUGGUCAAUGGGCGAGAGCCUGAACCAGCCAAGUAGCGUGCAGGAAGACGGGCCCCUAUGGGUUGUAAACUGCUUUUAUAGGGGAAUAAGUGAGCCACGUGUGGUUUUUUGCAUGUACCCUAUGAAUAAGGACCGGCUAAUUCCGUG